GACGAACGCUGGCGGCGUGCUUAACACAUGCAAGUCGAACGGAAAGGCCCUGCUGUUGUGGGGGGCUCGAGUGCCGAACGGGUGAUUAACACGUGAGUAACCUGCCCUUGACUUUGUGAUAACUUCAGGAAACUGGGGCUAAUACCGGAUAGGAUCUCCUGCUGCAUGGUGGGGGUUGGAAAGUUUCUGCGUCGGGGGAUGGGCCCGCGGCUGAUCAGCUUGUGGGGGAGGGAGUGGCUUACCAAGGGGACGACGAGUAGCUGGCCUGAGAGGAUGACCAGCCACACUGGGACUGAGACACGGCCCAGACUCCUACGGGAGGCAGCAGUGGGGAAUAUUGGACAAUGGGCGCAAGCCUGAUCCAGCCAGGCCGCGUGAGUGAUGAAGGCCUUAGGGUUGUAAAGCUCUUUUGUCCGGGAAGAUAAGGACUGUACCGGAAGAAUAAGCCCCGGCUAACUUCGUG
rnacentral:rRNA from 1 species